UGUGACAUCCCCAUUUUCACGGCCAGAAAAGACCGAUUUGUUUAUGCUUUGUUUUAUAAAUCAGAGUGAUCGUUUAAAGAAAACGGUUGCGGAAUUUGUUCCCAAAAUAAAAUAUGAUAACCAUUUAUCAAAACGUUUCUCAAAGAGAAUGUAUUUUUAUUAAAUAAUAAAACCUCGGGAUGUCAUGUUCCGAUACAGACCAAAAGCAUAAACAAUAAUAAAUAGACCUUACAACAGUUACUCAUAACUACUGGCCUAUAAUCCAAAAUCUCUCGUCAAGUCCACCAACUUAUACUCUUGUGCCAUUACCUGUAAUGCAAAGAAAACUGAGUGGGUCAGGCUUGGGAGCCUGGUGAGCAUAUAGGGUUUUCAACCCACAAUAAUACAAUUAUUAUAUUCAACCAUCAAACAAUCAACUCAAUUAUUCAUCCCUAUUAUGUUUCUUAGGAUUUUACCCUAGGAAUUCAACUACUCGUCAUUCCUUCAUUCCUAAGGAUUGACCUAAGGGAUUUACACAAACUUCCAUUGCUACAUAAGGCGCAUCUGCCAACAUUAUCCUUUAAGCGCCUCUGCCAGGAUUACGUCAUACACUAUGAGGCGCGAUUGCCAGGUUUAUGACAUUCUCUUUUAGGCGCAUCCGCCGACAUUAUCUUAUAAGCGCAUCUGCCAAGAUUACCCUAUAAGCGCAUCCGCUAUUAUUAUGACAAUCUUUAUUUGGCGCAUCUGCCAACAAUAUCCUAUAAGCGCAUCUGCUAGGAUCACUCUAUAAGCGCAUCUGCUUUUAUUAUGACAAUCUCUAUUUGGCGCAUCUGCCGACAUUAUCCUAUAAGCGCAUCUGCUAGGAUUACGACAUUCACUACUUGGUGCAUCUACCGAUAUUAUUCUACAGCACAUCUGCUAGUCUUAUGACAUUCUUUAAUUGGUGCAUCUACCAAUAUCAUUCUUAAUCAUCUUUCAUACCUCAUCAUUUCAUCACAUACCAACUAUCUCAUCUACCCAUGUUCUACCCAACAUAUUUGUAGAUCUAGAAUACACAUACAGUUUAUCUCAUUUUAAAACUAUAUAAAACAUUCAUGCCAUACUCAUCUCAAAUAAACAACAAUAUAUAAACACAUAGCACGUAUUUUAUACCAAAUACUUCAUAUUUAUGUGUUAGAAGAAAGUAACCAUACACUCUGCCAAACGUACACUUAAUACAUUCAAACAAUACUUGUAUUAUACCCGUGUUUAUGAAAGGGACUAUACAUCCAUCCAUAUAAACAACUUUAUAUUAUCCACGUAGCACGUAUUUCAACGAAAAUACUUAAUAAUUAUGCGUUAGAAGAAAAUAACUACACACUCACACUUAUAAACAACAAUACUCUUAAUACACUCAAACCAAACUCGUAUUAUUAUUGUGUUUAUGAAAGGUAGUAUACACUCACUUGAUCAGAAGAUGAUCGGACAGCACUACGACUUGCAGAAGUAGUAAUCCUCAGCAGAUCUGGAAGAUCUCUUCAAAAAUCGAACUUCUCGCGGGCAGAGCUUCGGCUCGGGAACCGCACUUCUCGGGAUCUUCGGGAUCUCGGGACUUGCUUCGGGGCUUGAGAACAAUACCGGGGCUUCGGGGUAUUUCUGGCACGCAAACCGAUGCAAAAUGGGAGAAAGAAGAGGAGAAAUUGGCAAAACUAUCGGCUGCCUUCGGAUUCCUUUUAUAGAGGCUGAGCCUCGCACGUACGCGGGGCGUACGCCAGUACGCGGGGCGUACUGGUCCGAAAAACGUCACUGCGUUCGUCAUCCGAAGCCACUUGCUGCGAUGUCGACACUUUCGGAGUACGCGGGGCGUACUCGAGUACGCGGCGCGUACCUCGGAUCAGACCGGUGACUCCUUCGGAUAAUGCUUCCGAAUUAAAGAUUAAAAAUAAAUACAAAUUAUUUAAUAAUCUUCGGAAAUUCAUAUCUUCUUCAUACGAACUCCGUUUUCGACGUUCUUUAUAUCCACGCGAAGGUGAGACUACGCUCUACAACUUUCGUUUAGACUCCGUCGGCUAAUUUUGACUUUAUUUUUAUUAAUUAUUUUUAAUAGGCCGCGACAUAAACUUUCGUUAUAAAUUCAUAACUUCUUCGUUUGACGUCCGUUCUCGCCUAACUUUUUAUCGCUUCGAUACCAACAAUGAGAUCUUCGAUUCUCAUUUAGAUUGCUUCGGCUAAAUACCGCUCUAACGUAAAUUCACUUUUUACGUUGCAUUGCGUCGUGCCGGUUCUGUCGCGAAACUUCGACGGGCCAUAACUUCUUCGUUAUAACUCGGAUUUUGGCGUUCUUUAUAUGCACGGAAACCUUGUGACAUAUACUACAACUUGGUUAAGAUUAAUCCUUCUAGAUAAUCUUCCAUCAAAAAGUCAUUUUUGACGCUUAUUGUUUCUAAAUUGACUAGCCCUGAUCUACGGGCGUUACAAUUAUCUCCCCCUUAGGAUGAUUACGUCCCGGAAUCAUCAACGAAAUAGGAUUCGCAUACUGACUCCAUAAGUUAUCUUUCCAUUCUAAGUAAUAACCUUGAUGCUCAAUCCUGCAUCUGCUCUUCGUACUAUCUUGGACUUUCAAUCAUAACCUUCGAGUUACAAAAUAAGUCCUUAUUGCGAACUCUUUCUUCUUCUUAGGAUAAAUAUAUUCCUUUAUCCAAUGUAACAAACCGAUGGGUCGUGCUCUAUCGACCUCUCAUCGCACGAUGCGACGCUUAGACUCGGUCUUUAAUAAAGUUAAAUUCCAGAAUGGAAUAUACCUUCCUUCAUAUUCUAAUGCGAUAUAAUCACAUUUCAGCAUGUAGCAUUUCUGCCUACAAACUUCUUUUAACAACGAGAGCGACACUAUCAAUCGCAUUAACUUCAACCUUCUGACUUAAGUCAGAUGUUACAUCUAACUCGGUCCUCUAGACCACGUACAUACUCCUCGCCGUCGAACUCAAAUUAAACAUGACCACUAGGGUCGGAACAAGAACCAUCUUACUAGUCAUCACCGAAACAAUGGUAAUGACAUACCAGAAUAAAAUGGAAUCAAUCACUAGUUUCUUGGUAACCUUGCGACUUUCCCUGAUCCAAGUGCGAGUCCUGUGCUUCCGGUAGUAUAUGCAUCUACUACCUUUCACACCUACUCAUACUCGUCCCAAGUAUUGCCUCGUAGUCGACCAAGUCACCAUGCAAGAAAAUCAGACAAUCAUUCAACACAUCAGUUAACAAAACUAGGGUUUAUAUUAAUUCCUUGAAACGGUUACACAAAAGUUCAAGUUCACCCUAUACUAUGCCUCUAAUAGGCUACACCACAUGUUACUUUUCAUAUCGCUACUUUAUAACUUGAUCUUUAGAUAUAAGAUCCUUAUUCCUGAUUCCUUGCAUUGCCAUCUGCUUCAUCAAGGAUCAUUUGAAAUGCUCUUGCCUUUAGCUUUGGCGGCGCCUCUAGCCUUGCUGUUUGAUUUUUCCUUGGGCAGUCUUGCUUGAAGUGCCCCUCUUCGUUACAUUCGUAACACACCUUUUUGUUGAAAAUACAUUCAUCGGCGUAAUGCCCAUGCUUUCCACACUUGAAACAUGUCACUUCCACGCCACAUUUUCCUGAGUGCUUCUUCUUGCACUUAUCGCACCACCGUGCCUCAUCCCUUCCUCCUCCUCCAGACUUCGAGGAUUUUCUUUUCUCAUUAGAACCUGAAGUUCCUUCUAACUUUCUCUUCUCACCAACUUCAACCUUACUGUCAGUCCUCCCCUUGAUCAUAUUCUCAACAGACUUGGCAGCCCAAAUAGCUGCCUCUAGAGUAGGUGCCUGACGCACUGGCACCGCAUACUCCCAAGGGAGUCCCUUGGCAUACCGAUCGACUUUUGUCAGUUCGUCUGGAACGAUGCGUAAAGCAAACUCCAUCUUGUCUGUGAAAGCAUUAGUGUAUUCAUCCACUGACAUGCUGCCUUUCUUCAAUAUCAGAAACUUAUUCUCCAACUCCAAUAGAUUUUGAGCAGAGCAGAACUUGCGCUUGAAUUGCACCAAGAACUCUGCCCAGGUCAGUUGCAGUGGCUCAUUAGGACUUAGGAUCUUCCCCAAAGUGUUCCACCAACGAACAGCCCCACCCCUGAACUGACGCACUGCAUAGGUAGUCUGCAACUUGCCUCUGCAGCCACAAGUCAUGAAGGCUAGCUCCAUUUCCGAUAUCCAAUCCAUAACUCCGAUCGGAUCUUCCUUUCCAGUGAAGGUCGAUGGUUUGCAAGUCAGAAAAUCCUUAUACUUGCAUCCCAUUCCAUCGUUCCUUCCAUUCUGGUUGUUUUGCCUAACUAUCGGUGGGUUGGCUUGACCAACAGACCCACUGAAGUUUCCACCUUCCGAGUGCCCUUCAUUUAAUUCAGGCUCUUCCACUCGAAUUGACAGUUCUUCACGAUUCUGCUGAAGCAACCGUCUAGUUUCAUCCAUCUGACGAUCCAACAUCGUCUGAAUCAUCAUUUGCACACCAGCCAUGGUUAUUGGCUCAGGUGCUGCUGCUACGACAGGUAUUUGCUCAAUCACUGGUGGUUGAUUCCUGUUUUCAUCAGCAUUUCCAACUCCACUUCUUGUUCUCACCAUUUUUGAUCUACACACCAAAUAAGGUGAAAUUAUAUCCUCAAUCACGAUAGAUAUUCACAUCGCCCUUAUCACUCCGAAACGUUUACAUGCUAGUUCUAAUAUCGUAGACGUACGCUUAGAAUCCUAAACACAUAAGGUUUCCAGAUCCGGUCGGCAACAGACCAUAGAUCCGAACAAAUAAUAGCAUCAAUUUAGCUAUCACACAAAACAUUUAGCACAUAAAAGCAUUUUAGGCAUCAUUCCUAAAAUGAACUAGUGCUUGUGUCAAUUUAGGUGUACUACCUAACAUAUUUUAGACACACUCCUCACAAUCAUUACUUAGCAUUCUAAGUUUAAGUCUAGAAAUUUCCUACAAAUUCCUAGUUCGCUUAAACUAAUGCUCUGAUACCAACUGUGACAUCCCCAUUUUCACGGCCAGAAAAGACCGAUUUGUUUAUGCUUUGUUUUAUAAAUCAGAGUGAUCGUUUAAAGAAAACGGUUGCGGAAUUUGUUCCCAAAAUAAAAUAUGAUAACCAUUUAUCAAAACGUUUCUCAAAGAGAAUGUAUUUUCAUUAAAUAAUAAAACCUCGGGAUGUCAUGUUCCGAUACAGACCAAAAGCAUAAACAAUAAUAAAUAGACCUUACAACAGUUAUUCAUAACUACUGGCCUAUAAUCCAAAAUCUCUCGUCAAGUCCACCAACUUAUACUCUUGUGCCAUUACCUGUAAUGCAAAGAAAACUGAGUGGGUCAGGCUUGGGAGCCUGGUGAGCAUAUAGGGUUUUCAACCCACAAUAAUACAAUUAUUAUAUUCAACCAUCAAACAAUCAACUCAAUUAUUCAUCCCUAUUAUGUUUCUUAGGAUUUUACCCUAGGAAUUCAACUACUCGUCAUUCCUUCAUUCCUAAGGAUUGACCUAAGGGAUUUACACAAACUUCCAUUGCUACAUAAGGCGCAUCUGCCAACAUUAUCCUUUAAGCGCCUCUGCCAGGAUUACGUCAUACACUAUGAGGCGCGAUUGCCAGGUUUAUGACAUUCUCUUUUAGGCGCAUCCGCCGACAUUAUCUUAUAAGCGCAUCUGCCAAGAUUACCCUAUAAGCGCAUC
rnacentral:lncRNA from 1 species